GAGCGAGCCAGUCUGGAGUCAGGCUGUCCUCCCCUCAUCCAGUGAGGGGGUGUUGGGAAGAUGGUCAGUUCCCUCUCCUCACUGUGUCUGGACCGAUUAAGAACUGAAACACGGGAACUCGAUGGAGGGAGAGCAACGGUGCCAGUGAAUUUCAAACUGCAUUUGUAAUGAACACAGAGCCUUCUGGGGGGGCCUUAGGUGCUGCAAUCAGGAAGCAUGGAUUUGGGUGCAAGAGAAAGGUGUUGCAAGGAUUGCGCAGAAGAGGCUGGUUUUAUAGGCAGAGGAGGACAGAACGAAGUGGAAACAAAGAAGCAGGGAGGCAGAGCCUUCAAAGUCACUUUUCCUACAAAGCCGAGGGCACAGGAGUCCUAUUAGGCUGACUCAGAGAAAGCCCACGGAUGUCGCAACGCACGGCUGCCUUUUGGACGGUGUGGAGACAAAGGGGCUCUCAGCUUGGGGAGAUGGAGGCCAAGCAGA